rnacentral:misc_RNA from 1 species
GAUGGAUUACUUGGUAGAACAGCAAUCUAGUUUUAGU